AUGAACCCAGAGAACCAAAGCUUCGCUUUUUCCAGCUCCGCCUCGGCGCUCUCCAGCUCUGUCUCCAUAACCUCCGCCUCCGGAGCCCCAGGAAGCGAAGCUGUCCGCCUCCACGUCGCCGCCAAGCGGCUAAUCGUCCGACGAUGUUCAACCCACCAAACUUGGCGUCAACGGGUGGGGAGGAGCGGUGUCCUUCUUGGGACCCGAGCGGCGGUGACCUACCGUACACUACUCUUCCUCGCUGCCGGCGGCGCCCGCGGACAUGACAGCCUCGUGCUCGUGGCGGCGGGGUGCGGCCUCGAUGUUGUCCUUCUCCUCCUCGUCAGUCUCGCCGAACAGCGCCUCGCUCGCCUCACCGCACUCCUUGGACGCGGCGGCUACCUCCGCCACCCGCUAUCGGUACCGCCAGCUGGCGAGGCGGAUCUUGCGGGCGAAGCGGUAGGACUGGAGCAGCGCUUCCUACUCCACCAGGCCUGCAUUCGGCGUGACCGCCCCGCAUGCGCCGAGCUGCUCUUUCGCCUGCGGGGGCUCCUGUAG
rnacentral:rRNA from 1 species